GUGCCAGACUCCUACGGGAGGCAGCAGUGGGGAAUAUUGCACAAUGGGGGAAACCCUGAUGCAGCAACGCCGCGUGAGUGAAGAAGUAUUUCGGUAUGUAAAGCUCUAUCAGCAGGGAAGAAAAUGACGGUACCUGAGUAAGAAGCCCCGGCUAACUACGUGCCAGCAGCCGCGGUAAUACGUAGGGGGCAAGCGUUAUCCGGAUUUACUGGGUGUAAAGGGAGCGCAGGCGGCGCGUUAAGCCUGGUGUGAAAGCCCGCGGCCCAACCGCGGGACUGCAUUGGGAACUGGCGCGCUGGAGUGCCGGAGGGGUAGGCGGAAUUCCUAGUGUAGCGGUGAAAUGCGUAGAUAUUAGGAGGAACACCAGUGGCGAAGGCGGCUUACUGGACUGUAACUGACGUUGAGGCUCGAAAGCGUGGGGAGCAAACAGGAUUAGAUACCCCGGUA
rnacentral:rRNA from 1 species